GACGAACGCUGGCGGCGUGCUUAACACAUGCAAGUCGAACGGAAAGGCCCUGCUUUUGUGGGGUGCUCGAGUGGCGAACGGGUGAGUAACACGUGAGUAACCUGCCCUUGACUUUGGGAUAACUUCAGGAAACUGGGGCUAAUACCGGAUAGGAGCUCCUGCUGCAUGGUGGGGGUUGGAAAGUUUCGGCGGUUGGGGAUGGACUCGCGGCUUAUCAGCUUGUUGGUGGGGUAGUGGCUUACCAAGGCUUUGACGGGUAGCCGGCCUGAGAGGGUGACCGGCCACAUUGGGACUGAGAUACGGCCCAGACUCCUACGGGAGGCAGCAGUGGGGAAUAUUGCACAAUGGGCGGAAGCCUGAUGCAGCAACGCCGCGUGCGGGAUGACGGCCUUAGGGUUGUAAACCGCUUUCGCCUGUGACGAAGCGUGAGUGACGGUAAUGGGUAAAGAAGCACCGGCUAACUACGUGCCAGCAGCCGCGGUGAUACGUAGGGUGCGAGCGUUGUCCGGAUUUAUUGGGCGUAAAGGGCUCGUAGGUGGUUGAUCGCGUCGGAAGUGUAAUCUUGGGGCUUAACCCUGGGCGUGCUUUCGAUACGGGUUGACUUGAGGAAGGUAGGGGAGAAUGGAAUUCCUGGUGGAGCGGUGGAAUGCGCAGAUAUCAGGAGGAACACCAGUGGCGAAGGCGGUUCUCUGGGCCUUUCCUGACGCUGAGGAGCGAAAGCGUGGGGAGCGAACAGGCUUAGAUACCCUGGUAGUCCACGCUGUAAACGGUGGGUACUAGGUGUGGGGUCCAUUCCACGGGUUCCGUGCCGUAGCUAACGCUUUAAGUACCCCGCCUGGGGAGUACGGCCGCAAGGCUAAAACUCAAAGGAAUUGACGGGGCCCCGCACAAGCGGCGGAGCAUGCGGAUUAAUUCGAUGCAACGCGUAGAACCUUACUGGGUUUGACAUGGAUCGGGAGCGCUCAGAGAUGGGUGUGCCUCUUUUGGGGUCGGUUCACAGGUGGUGCAUGGCUGUCGUCAGCUCGUGUCGUGAGAUGUUGGGUUAAGUCCCGCAACGAGCGCAACCCUUGUUCACUGUUGCCAGCACGUUAUGGUGGGGACUCAGUGGAGACCGCCGGGGUCAACUCGGAGGAAGGUGGGGAUGACGUCAAGUCAUCAUGCCCCUUAUGUCCAGGGCUUCACGCAUGCUACAAUGGCUGGUACAGAGAGUGGCGAGCCUGUGAGGGUGAGCGAAUCUCGGAAAGCCGGUCUCAGUUCGGAUUGGGGUCUGCAACUCGACCUCAUGAAGUCGGAGUCGCUAGUAAUCGCAGAUCAGCAACGCUGCGGUGAAUACGUUCCCGGGGCUUGUACACACCGCCCGUCAAGUCAUGAAAGUUGGUAACACCCGAAGCCGGUGGCCUAACCGUUGUGGGGGAGCCGUCGAAGGUGGGACUGGUGAUUAGGACUAAGUCGUAACAAGGUAGCCGUACCGGAAGG
rnacentral:rRNA from 1 species